ensembl:snRNA U6 U6 spliceosomal RNA
GUGCUUGGUUUUGGCAGCACACAUACUAAAAUUGGAACGAUGCAGAGUACCACGGCCCCUGUACAAGGAUAACACGCAAGUUCGUGAAGCUUCCAUAUUUUUA